GGGAUGAGCCCGCGGCCUAUCAGCUUGUUGGUGAGGUAAUGGCUCACCAAGGCGACGACGGGUAGCCGGCCUGAGAGGGCGACCGGCCACACUGGGACUGAGACACGGCCCAGACUCCUACGGGAGGCAGCAGUGGGGAAUAUUGCACAAUGGGCGAAAGCCUGAUGCAGCGACGCCGCGUGAGGGAUGACGGCCUUCGGGUUGUAAACCUCUUCAGCAGGGAAGAAGCGAAAGUGACGGUACUGCAGAGAGGGGCGGUCC
rnacentral:rRNA from 1 species